ACUCCGGUGGUAUAAGAUGGACCCGCGUCUGAUUAGCUAGUUGGUGAGAUAACAGCCCACCAAGGCGACGAUCAGUAGCCGACCUGAGAGGGUGACCGGCCACAUUGGGACUGAGACACGGCCCAAACUCCUACGGGAGGCAGCAGUGGGGAAUAUUGCACAAUGGGGGAAACCCUGAUGCAGCGACGCCGCGUGGAGGAAGAAGGUCUUCGGAUUGUAAACUCCUGUUGUUGAGGAAGAUAAUGACGGUACUCAACAAGGAAGUGACGGCUAACUACGUGCCAGCAGCCGCGGUAAAACGUAGGUCACAAGCGUUGUCCGGAAUUACUGGGUGUAAAGGGAGCGCAGGCGGGAAGACAAGUUGGAAGUGAAAUCCAUGGGCUCAACCCAUGAACUGCUUUCAAAACUGUUUUUCUUGAGUAGUGCAGAGGUAGGCGGAAUUCCCGGUGUAGCGGUGGAAUGCGUAGAUAUCGGGAGGAACACCAGUGGCGAAGGCGGCCUACUGGGCACCAACUGACGCUGAGGCUCGAAAGUGUGGGUAGCAAACAGGAUUAGAUACCCUGGUAGUCCACACUGUAAACGAUGAUUACUAGGUGUUGGAGGAUUGACCCCUUCAGUGCCGCAGUUAACACAAUAAGUAAUCCACCUGGGGAGUACGACCGCAAGGUUGAAACUCAAAGGAAUUGACGGGGGCCCGCACAAGCAGUGGAGUAUGUGGUUUAAUUCGACGCAACGCGAAGAACCUUACCAAGUCUUGACAUCCUGCGACGGUACUGGAAACAGUACUUUCCUUCGGGACGCAGAGACAGGUGGUGCAUGGUUGUCGUCAGCUCGUGUCGUGAGAUGUUGGGUUAAGUCCCGCAACGAGCGCAACCCUUAUCUUUAGUAGCCAGCGGUCCGGCCGGGCACUCUAGAGAGACUGCCAGGGAUAACCUGGAGGAAGGCGGGGAUGACGUCAAAUCAUCAUGCCCCUUAUGACUUGGGCUACACACGUGCUACAAUGGCGUAAACAAAGGGAAGCAAAGCUGUGAAGCCGAGCAAAUCUCAAAAAUAACGUCUCAGUUCGGACUGUAGUCUGCAACCCGACUACACGAAGCUGGAAUCGCUAGUAAUCGCAGAUCAGAAUGCUGCGGUGAAUACGUUCCCGGGUCUUGUACACACCGCCCGUCACACCAUGGGAGUCAGUAACGCCCGAAGUCAGUGACCCAACCGUAAGGAGGGAGCUGCCGAAGGUGGGACCGAU
rnacentral:rRNA from 1 species